rnacentral:snRNA from 1 species
GCUCUCACUGCUGUAGCACAUAUAAAAGUUGGAGCGAUGCAGGGAAGAUUGUCGUGGCUUCUCUGUAAGGAUGAUAUGCAAAUUUGUGAAACAGUCUAAGUAUGU